rnacentral:tRNA from 1 species
UCCGACGUGGUGUAGUGGCUAACAUUAUCGCCUCUCAUACAUCGGUGAAGCAUGAGUAACUGAAAGCGCGAUAGCCCGGGGUUCGAUUCCCCGCGUCGGAA